rnacentral:lncRNA from 1 species
GCUUAGUGAACCUCGGCUGACCUCAGGGUAUACCGAGUUUCCAGCUCAGCGGAGCAGUGCUUCGGUUGAAAGCACGCAGCCCAAAACUUCCCUCCUUGCAUCUGGGGAAGGGGGGGCUGCCGGAGCACGGGCAGCUGGUGGUGGCACACAGACAAAAAGGUGAUGGCGCUGACUGACUCUCGGAUGCAGCCAGGCCCCUUCCUAGGAAGGAUGUUGCAGCCCAACAGGAUCAGCCUGAAUGCGAAGCAGCUUCAGCAGCUUUUGGCAGGCCCUGGGUCAAAGGAGGAUGGGAGGGUGCCAGACCCACAGCGCUACUGGGUGCUGCAUGUUGGGGCGCAGGAGCAGCGCCCCAGCAGCGCAAUGUUUACAAAGGUGAAAAAACAUUAAUAACAUGCAAUAUGCUCCUCCUGUUGUUUCAAUAAGAUCAAGGUGUGUACAGGAGAGCAAAUGUGUGUAUCUACAUGUGCACACACACGCACUCGCUGUGGCUGGUGUGGAAUAUCGCUCGGUGCAGGAUUAUUCCAGCCAGCCUGCAGUCAAUACUGACAAAUACAGUAUACGUCCCGUCUUGCCCACAGCAGUGAGGGAGCUGUGGCAGGCUCAGUGUUUUCCUCCCUCUUGUGAAAGACCUGGGGUGUUUUCAGCAGUGUGGGGAGCUUGGGUCCUGAUGGCCUCAGGUCCCAACAGUGCGUGGUCUUGCUGCUGCACCAAGAGAAUUGGAGAGGAGCGACUCCCAGCCCGGCGCCUUCCUCACCGCCAAUUCACCCCUCUGUGCUCUGCCCGCUCGGCGUGCUGCAGGAGACAGGGGUUCAGGGGCUUCUGCUGUUGUUGGGCCCAGAUUGAGGUGGUCACUGGGAUGGCUGAGAAAGGAUGCUGAGGUGUGGGCAGCUGGAUCUGGCCACAGAAGGCAGGAUUUGCACUCCCUCCAGCAGGUGGUAGCAGCCUCCUUCAAGCUGCACAUCACUCCUGCCUGCUGCUGCAGAACUGCUGCUGAUAGUUCAUGUCCCUGCCUGCCCCUGACCUCACUUGAUCUCCUCACCCUCUGCAGCACGGCUGAGCUCCCCCGAGGAGGAAGAUCUUCUGUUUAGGUCCAGAGUAUGCACUACAUUUACCAGCAGUGUGAAUCACAGCAGGAGGAGGCAGUGGCACAACGUCACAAGGACACACGACAUGUCUUGCUUUUGUAUGUGAUUUAUUCCUAAUGGUUUUGUAAUCAGUCAUGUUCUAUCCAUCACAGAUGGAUAAUUCAGGGAUGUGCUUCCUAAAUACAAAAUUCAAGAUCUAAUGCCUUGUCUAGGCAGUAGGAUUAGCUGAAGCAGUGACAGGUCGCAGACAGGCUCUAUCUUUAAAUGAAAUGGAAACUCAGCCUCCUUUGUAUUUCCACAAGGAGUCCUCUAUGCCAGUGUAACAGGACAGUUUUGUGGAUGCAAUUACAUUAUCCACUGAUAUAUGGCCUCUGCUUAUUAGCAAUCGAGUAAGCUACCUCCCUAACUUAGUGCAAGUACAAACAUCUUGGGUUUAAUUAUGAAUGCUAUGGAGUUUUUUGUCUGUUACUUUUUAUUGUUGGGGUUUUUCUUCUUUUAAUAUGCAGCCAUACUUUCCUUAUUUGUAUUUUAAAACAGUGGUCUUAUUGGUGAGGAUUUAGAUUAGUUGAAAGAGUUUUUGGGCUUUGGUAUUCUGUAUGAAUAAAAAUAAUGCUGGAUAAAGCUCUGUUUAACAGAGGAGGUAAGGAAAAGCUUAAAGACAGGCUAAAAAAAAAAAAUAAUCCCAUGGCUUUCCCAGCUGUGGCUUCCAUACCAGGUAUGAAAGAUGAAGAUUUAGGUUUAUUAUAAGCCACCUAAAAAUGCAGCAAUGAACCAAAGUGUUUGGCUAACACACUUUAGCACCUGUGUUUGAGUAUCUGUUUGGGUGUUGCUGGCUUUACAGCUGUAACUGUGACUUGACUAUUUGGUUUUUUUUUUUUGUAGUGGUUUUUUUGCACAGUUGGGUGUAGACCUGUGAAACAGGCCCUUUGCUUGAGAACGUGCCAAGGCACAAAACUUCUGCUUUUCACCACUAAAUCUCACUUAAAACUCUUCCGUGCCAGUUCGGUUUGGAGCCCUCUCCAUCCAGGAGAGCAGACAGAAGACU